UUGACCUCAAAUCAGGUAGGACUACCCGCUGAACUUAAGCAUAUCAAUAAGCGGAGGAAAAGAAACUAACAAGGAUUCCCCUAGUAACUGCGAGUGAAGCGGGAAAAGCUCAAAUUUAAAAUCUGGCGGUCUCCGGCCGUCCGAGUUGUAAUCUAGAGAAGUGUURUCCGCGCUGGACCGUGUACAAGUCUCCUGGAAUGGAGCGUCGUAGAGGGUGAGAAUCCCGUCUUUGACACGGACUACCAGGGCUUUGUGAUACGCUCUCAAAGAGUCGAGUUGUUUGGGAAUGCAGCUCAAAAUGGGUGGUAAAUUCCAUCUAAAGCUAAAUAUUGGYGAGAGACCGAUAGYGAACAAGUACNGUGAGGGAAAGAUGAAAAGAACUUUGGAAAGAGAGUUAAACAGUACGUGAAAUUGCUGAAAGGGAAACGCUUGAAGUCAGUCGCGUUGGCCGGGGAUCAACCUUGCUUUUGNUGGGNGUACUUUCCGGUUGACGGGUCAGCAUCAAUUUUGACCAUUGGAUAAAGUCUAGAGGAAUGUAGCAUCUUCGGAUGUGUUAUAGCCUUUGGUCGCAUACAGUGGUUGGGAUUGAGGAACUCAGCACGCCGCAAGGCCGGGUACUUGUACCACGUUCGUGCUUAGGAUGNUGGCAUAAUGGCUUUAAUCGACCCGUCUUGAAACACGGACCAAGGAGUCUAACAUGCNUGUGAGUGUUUGGGUGGCAAACUCGGACGCGUAAUGAAAGUGAAAGUUGAGAUCCCUGUCGUGGGGAGCAUCGACGCCCGGACCAGACCUUUUGUGACGGAUCCGCGGUAGAGCAUGUAUGUUGGGACCCGAAAGAUGGUGAACUAUGCCUGAAUAGGGUGAAGCCAGAGGAAACUCUGGUGGAGGCUCGUAGCGAUUCUGACGUGCAAAUCGAUCGUCAAAUUUGGGUAUAGGGGCGAAAGACUAAUCGAACCAUCUAGUAGCUGGUUCCUGCCRAAGUUUCCCUCANGAUAGCAGAAACUCAUUUCAAAUUUAUGUGGUAAAGCGAAUGAUUAGAGGCCUUGGGGUUGAAACAACCUUAACCUAUUCUCAAACUUUAAAUAUGUAAGAACGAGCCGUCUCUUGAUUGGACCGCUCGGCGAUUGANAGUUUCUAGUGGGCCAUUUUUGGUAAGCAUAACUGGCGAUGCGGGAUGAACCGAACGCGAGGUUAAAGUGCCGGAAUUCACGCUCAUCAUACACCACAAAAGGUGUUAGUUCAUCUAAACAGCANGACGGUGGCCAUGGAAGUCNGAAUCCGCUAAAGAGUGUGUAACAACUCACCUGCCGAAUGAACUAACCCUGAAA
rnacentral:rRNA from 1 species